CACUUAACUUUGUACAGCAAUAUUUCUGUCUUUUAUACAUAACACUUCGUUUUGUUGUGAUCGUGGUUCAAGCUCAUCAGGUUAAACCCAACAGGUUCACCGUCAUAUAAUGCAUCACAGUGCACUCCCUGAUCAGCAGCCCCAGUCAUUACCUGUCAGAAUGAACCAAGUGAAAAACCAAGAGACAUAUCAGCCAGGUGCAACCAUACCUCAUCAUCCUACACCUGUUUACCAGAAGACCAGCUACAACCAGUUCUAUGAGUAUUUCCAAGGAGCUCCCAUCAAUUUCUAUCAUAAGACCACACAGGACUGGCCGUCUGUUGCCAUGACCAGCACACAAAUACCACACCCUCAAUCCAGCACCUACCGAUACUACGCGGAGGCACAGAAUUGUACAAGCAAUUACCAUUUAUCCUCAUUACAAGUUGGAUUUUCUCAAGGAGUUUCAGUCACAUGUCAGCCUCCUGGGAUGGAGAGCCUGCCUUCUGCGGCCAAGAGAAACAGCAAGAAUGGCCCGCCGGAAAAAAGUAAAGAGGAGUUUGAAUACACAUUUUCAG